rnacentral:rRNA from 1 species
GUUAUAUGGUCAAGUGAAGAAGCGCAUACGGUGGAUGCCUUGGCAGUCAGAGGCGAUGAAAGACGUGGUAGCCUGCGAAAAGCUUCGGGGAGUCGGCAAACAGACUUUGAUCCGGAGAUGUCUGAAUGGGGGAACCCAGCCAUCAUAAGAUGGUUACCUUACACUGAAUACAUAGGUGUAUGGAGCGAACCAGGGGAACUGAAACAUCUAAGUACCCUGAGGAAAAGAAAUCAACCGAGAUUCCCUUAGUAGUGGCGAGCGAACGGGGACUAGCCCUUAAGUGGCUUUGAGAUUAGCGGAACGCUCUGGAAAGUGCGGCCAUAGUGGGUGAUAGCCCUGUACGCGAAAAUCUCUUAGUCAUGAAAUCGAGUAGGACGGAGCACGAGAAACUUUGUCUGAAUAUGGGGGGACCAUCCUCCAAGGCUAAAUACUACUGACUGACCGAUAGUGAACUAGUACCGUGAGGGAAAGGCGAAAAGAACCCGGAGAGGGGAGUGAAAUAGAUCCUGAAACCGUAUGCGUACAAGCAGUGGGAGCAGACUUUGUUCUGUGACUGCGUACCUUUUGUAUAAUGGGUCAGCGACUUAUUUUCAGUGGCGAGCUUAACCGAAUAGGGGAGGCGUAGCGAAAGCGAGUCUUAAUAGGGCGUCUAGUCGCUGGGAAUAGACCCGAAACCGGGCGAUCUAUCCAUGGGCAGGUUGAAGGUUGGGUAACACUAACUGGAGGACCGAACCGACUACCGUUGAAAAGUUAGCGGAUGACCUGUGGAUCGGAGUGAAAGGCUAAUCAAGCUCGGAGAUAGCUGGUUCUCCUCGAAAGCUAUUUAGGUAGCGCCUCAUGUAUCACUGUAGGGGUAGAGCACUGUUUCGGCUAGGGGGUCAUCCCGACUUACCAAACCGAUGCAAACUCCGAAUACCUACAAGUGCCGAGCAUGGAGACACACGGCGGGUGCUAACGUCCGUCGUGAAAAGGGAAACAACCCAGACCGUCAGCUAAGGUCCCAAAGUUAUGGUUAAGUGGGAAACGAUGUGGGAAGGCUUAGACAGCUAGGAGGUUGGCUUAGAAGCAGCCACCCUUUAAAGAAAGCGUAAUAGCUCACUAGUCGAGUCGGCCUGCGCGGAAGAUGUAACGGGGCUCAAACCAUACACCGAAGCUACGGGUAUCAUCUUCGGAUGAUGCGGUAGAGGAGCGUUCUGUAAGCCUGUGAAGGUGAGUUGAGAAGCUUGCUGGAGGUAUCAGAAGUGCGAAUGCUGACAUGAGUAACGAUAAUGGGUGUGAAAAACACCCACGCCGAAAGACCAAGGUUUCCUGCGCAACGUUAAUCGACGCAGGGUUAGUCGGUCCCUAAGGCGAGGCUGAAAAGCGUAGUCGAUGGAAAACAGGUUAAUAUUCCUGUACUUCUGGUUAUUGCGAUGGAGGGACGGAGAAGGCUAGGCCAGCUUGGCGUUGGUUGUCCAAGUUUAAGGUGGUAGGCUGGAAUCUUAGGUAAAUCCGGGAUUCUAAGGCCGAGAGCUGAUGACGAGUUAUCUUUUAGAUGACGAAGUGGUUGAUGCCAUGCUUCCAAGAAAAGCUUCUAAGCUUCAGGUAACCAGGAACCGUACCCCAAACCGACACAGGUGGUUGGGUAGAGAAUACCAAGGCGCUUGAGAGAACUCGGGUGAAGGAACUAGGCAAAAUGGCACCGUAACUUCGGGAGAAGGUGCGCCGGUGAGGGUGAAGGACUUGCUCCGUGAGCUCAUGCCGGUCGAAGAUACCAGGCCGCUGCGACUGUUUAUUAAAAACACAGCACUCUGCAAACACGAAAGUGGACGUAUAGGGUGUGACGCCUGCCCGGUGCCGGAAGGUUAAUUGAUGGGGUUAGCUAACGCGAAGCUCUUGAUCGAAGCCCCGGUAAACGGCGGCCGUAACUAUAACGGUCCUAAGGUAGCGAAAUUCCUUGUCGGGUAAGUUCCGACCUGCACGAAUGGCGUAACGAUGGCGGCGCUGUCUCCACCCGAGACUCAGUGAAAUUGAAAUCGCUGUGAAGAUGCAGUGUAUCCGCGGCUAGACGGAAAGACCCCGUGAACCUUUACUAUAGCUUUGCACUGGACUUUGAAUUUGCUUGUGUAGGAUAGGUGGGAGGCUUUGAAGCGUGGACGCCAGUUCGCGUGGAGCCAACCUUGAAAUACCACCCUGGCAACUUUGAGGUUCUAACUCAGGUCCGUUAUCCGGAUCGAGGACAGUGUAUGGUGGGUAGUUUGACUGGGGCGGUCUCCUCCUAAAGAGUAACGGAGGAGUACGAAGGUGCGCUCAGACCGGUCGGAAAUCGGUCGUAGAGUAUAAAGGCAAAAGCGCGCUUGACUGCGAGACAGACACGUCGAGCAGGUACGAAAGUAGGUCUUAGUGAUCCGGUGGUUCUGUAUGGAAGGGCCAUCGCUCAACGGAUAAAAGGUACUCCGGGGAUAACAGGCUGAUACCGCCCAAGAGUUCAUAUCGACGGCGGUGUUUGGCACCUCGAUGUCGGCUCAUCACAUCCUGGGGCUGAAGCCGGUCCAAGGGUAUGGCUGUUCGCCAUUUAAAGUGGUACGCGAGCUGGGUUUAGAACGUCGUGAGACAGUUCGGUCCCUAUCUGCCGUGGACGUUUGAGAUUUGAGAGGGGCUGCUCCUAGUACGAGAGGACCGGAGUGGACGAACCUCUGGUGUUCCGGUUGUCACGCCAGUGGCAUUGCCGGGUAGCUAUGUUCGGAAUAGAUAACCGCUGAAAGCAUCUAAGCGGGAAACUAGCCUCAAGAUGAGAUCUCACUGGAACCUUGAGUUCCCUGAAGGGCCGUCGAAGACUACGACGUUGAUAGGUUGGGUGUGUAAGCGCUGUGAGGCGUUGAGCUAACCAAUACUAAUUGCCCGUGAGGCUUGACCAUAUAACACCCAAGCAAUU